rnacentral:rRNA from 1 species
GUGGGGAAUAUUGGACAAUGGGCGCAAGCCUGAUCCAGCCAUGCCGCGUGUGUGAAGAAGGUCUUCGGAUUGUAAAGCACUUUAAGUUGGGAGGAAGGGCUCUUGGCUAAUACCCAAGGGUUUUGACGUUACCAACAGAAUAAGCACCGGCUAACUUCGUGCCAGCAGCCGCGGUAAUACGAAGGGUGCGAGCGUUAAUCGGAAUUACUGGGCGUAAAGCGCGCGUAGGCGGUUUGUUAAGUUGGAGGUGAAAUCCCCGGGCUCAACCUGGGAACUGCCUCCAAAACUGGCUGACUAGAGUACGGUAGAGGGUGGUGGAAUUUCCUGUGUAGCGGUGAAAUGCGUAGAUAUAGGAAGGAACACCAGUGGCGAAGGCGACCACCUGGACUGAUACUGACGCUGAGGUGCGAAAGCGUGGGGAGCAAACAGGAUUAGAAACCCUAGUAGUCC